UAGGGAAUCUUCCACAAUGGACGCAAGUCUGAUGGAGCAACGCCGCGUGAGUGAAGAAGGUCUUCGGAUCGUAAAGCUCUGUUGUUGGUGAAGAAGGAUAGAGGCAGUAACUGGUCUUUAUUUGACGGUAAUCAACCAGAAAGUCACGGCUAACUACGUGCCAGCAGCCGCGGUAAUACGUAGGUGGCAAGCGUUGUCCGGAUUUAUUGGGCGUAAAGCGAGCGCAGGCGGAAUGAUAAGUCUGAUGUGAAAGCCCACGGCUCAACCGUGGAACUGCAUCGGAAACUGUCAUUCUUGAGUGCAGAAGAGGNGAGUGGAACUCCAUGUGUAGCGGUGGAAUGCGUAGAUAUAUGAAGAACACCAGUGGCGAAGGCGGCUCUCUGGUCUGCAACUGACGCUGAGGCUCGAAAAGCAUGGGUAGCGAACAGGAUUA
rnacentral:rRNA from 1 species